AGCAGCCGCGGUAAUUCCAGCUCCAAUAGCGUAUAUUAAAGUUGUCGCAGUUAAAAAGCUCGUAGUUGAAUUUCGGGGUCAGUAGGCUGGUCGUGCCACAGGUAUGUACUGGUCUCACUGAUUCCUCCUUCCUGAUGAACCGUAAUGCCAUUAAUUUGGUGUUGCGGGGAAUCUGGACUGUUACUUUGAAAAAAUUAGAGUGUUUAAAGCAGGCUAACGCUUGAAUACAUUAGCAUGGAAUAAUGAAAUAGGACGAUCGAUCCUAUUUUGUUGGUUUCUAGGAUUGACGUAAUGAUUAAUAGGGAUAGUUGGGGGCAUUAGUAUUCAAUUGUCAGAGGUGAAAUUCUUGGAUUUAUUGAAGACUAACUACUGCGAAAGCAUUUGCCAAGGAUGUUUUCAUUAAUCAAGAACGAAAGUUAGGGGAUCGAAGACGAUCAGAUACCGUCGUAGUCUUAACCAUAAACUAUGCCGACUAGGGAUCGGAUGAUGUUAAUUUUUAAUGACUCAUUC
rnacentral:rRNA from 1 species